rnacentral:rRNA from 1 species
UACGGAGGGAGCGAGCGUUAUCCGGAAUCACUGGGUUUAAAGGGAGCGUAGGCGGCUCGGUAAGUCAGUUGUUAAAGCCCCUUGCUUAACGAGGAAGGUGCGAUUGAUACGGUCGAGCUUGAAUCGGGAUGAGGCAGGCGGAAUGUGGCAUGUGACGGUGAAAUGCAUAGAUAUGCCAUAGAACACCGAUUGCGAAGGCAGCCUGCUGGGCCUGUAUUGACGCUGAGGCACGAAAGCGUGGGGAGCAAACAGG